CCUACGGGAGGCAGCAGUAGGGAAUCUUCCGCAAUGGACGAAAGUCUGACGGAGCAACGCCGCGUGAGUGAUGAAGGUUUUCGGAUCGUAAAGCUCUGUUGUUAGGGAAGAACAAGUGCCGUUCGAAUAGGGCGGCACCUUGACGGUACCUAACCAGAAAGCCCCGGCUAACUACGUGCCAGCAGCCGCGGUAAUACGUAGGGGGCAAGCGUUGUCCGGAAUUAUUGGGCGUAAAGCGCGCGCAGGCGGUCCUUUAAGUCUGAUGUGAAAGCCCACGGCUUAACCGUGGAGGGUCAUUGGAAACUGGAGGACUUGAGUACAGAAGAGGAGAGUGGAAUUCCACGUGUAGCGGUGAAAUGCGUAGAGAUGUGGAGGAACACCAGUGGCGAAGGCGACUCUCUGGUCUGUAACUGACGCUGAGGCGCGAAAGCGUGGGGAGCGAACAGGAUUAGAUACCCUGGUAGUCCACGCCGUAAACGAUGAGUGCUAGGUGUUAGGGGGUUUCCGCCCCUUAGUGCUGAAGUUAACGCAUUAAGCACUCCGCCUGGGGAGUACGGCCGCAAGGCUGAAACUCAAAUGAAUUGACGG
rnacentral:rRNA from 1 species